rnacentral:rRNA from 1 species
CCUGCGGGAGGCAGCAGUGGGGAAUAUUGCACAAUGGGCGAAAGCCUGAUGCAGCAACGCCGCGUGAGCGAUGAAGGCUUUCGGGUCGUAAAGCCCUGUCCUCAAGGAAGAUAACGACGGUACUCGUGGUGGAAGCUCCGGCUAUCAACGUGUCAGCAGCCGCGGUAUUACGUAGGGGGCUAGCGUUAUCAGGAAUUACUGGGAGUAAAGGGUGCGUGGGUGGAUGCUUACGUCAGUGAUGAAAGGGUACGGCUCAACCGUAGUAAGCAUUUGAAACUGGGAGACUUGAGUGCAGGAGAGGAGAGUGGAAUUCCUAGUGUAGCGGUGAAAUGCGUAGAUAUUAGGAGGAACACCAGUUGCGAAGGCGGCUCUCUGGACUGUAACUGACACUGAGGCACGAAAGCGUGGGGAGCAAACAGGAUUAGAUACCCCUGUAGUC